CCAAAGAGUAGGAACAGUCCUGCCCUAAAUAGGGCACAGCUGUGUCCAGUAAGGAUGGGUUAUAAAAGAGUGGCUCAGCUGGUUGAGAAAGAGUUGGAGUCAGUUGGCUCUGCUGCUGUGAGGAGUGAGGGUCAGGUGUGUGUGUUAGGGACAGGAAGAAGUCAACCAGCUUUGUGUAAGGAAGAGAAAAGGAGUCAGUGCUAUGAGGAGUUGCCCAUGAGAACUCGCAGAGAGAAGGUAUCAAAGUCCUACAGUAAGGAAGAAUUAUGACUGUCUGUGGUGGGAUCUUGGAUGAUGCUGAACAGUCCUACUUGUUGCAGUUGUACUGGCCCACCAGGGUGAAUGGACAGAGAUGGGAAAGAGUCGCCCUGCACAGGAGUGGACUAAGCUAACCUGUCACCAAGAGGCGAGGCUGGAACUACUGUCUCUUGCUGAUCUGGAAAGAAAAAUCUCCCUUCCUGUUAAGUGUAGAAACUGGUCUGCUGUGUUAAAGGGUCAUGGCCCAACAUGCAGUUCAGGUUAAG
rnacentral:lncRNA from 1 species